rnacentral:misc_RNA from 1 species
GAUGAAGAACGUAGCGAAAUGCGAUAAGUAAUGUGAAUUGCAGAAUUCAGUGAAUCAUCGAAUCUUUGAACGCACAUUGCGCCCGCCAGUAUUCUGGCGGGCAUGCCUGUCCGAGCGUCAUUUCAACCCUCGAACCCCUCCGGGGGGUCGGCGUUGGGGAUCGGCCCUUUACGGGGCCGGCCCCGAAAUACAGUGGCGGUCUCGCCGCAGCCUCUCCUGCGCAGUAGUUUGCACACUCGCAUCGGGAGCGCGGCGCGUCCACAGCCUUUAAACACCCCAAACUUCUGAAAUGUUGACCUCGGAUCAGGUAGGAAUACCCGCUGAACUUAAGCAUAUCAAUAAGCGGAGGA